UACGUAGGGUGCGAGCGUUAAUCGGAAUCACUGGGCGUAAAGCGCGUGUAGGCGGCCUCUUAAGUCUGGUGUGAAAGCCCGGGGCUCACCCCCGGAAGGGCACUGGAUACUGGGAGGCUAGAGUACCGGAGAGGAGGGUGGAAUUCCUGGUGUAGCGGUGAAAUGCGUAGAUAUCAGGAGGAACACCGGUGGCGAAGGCGGCCCUCUGGACGGCUACUGACGCUGAGACGCGAAAGCGUGGGGAGCAAACAGG
rnacentral:rRNA from 1 species